AGCUUUGUGCAGUGACGGUAUCAUAUCCAAUGAGGUUUAUCCAAGGCACUAUUAUUGCUAAUUGGAUAUUUUUUCCUUUGGGUUUCCUCAGGUAGUUUUGGGCAUAUAGAUUUAUU
rnacentral:snRNA from 1 species